rnacentral:rRNA from 1 species
UUGGGAAUAUUGGACAAUGGAGGAAACUCUGAUCCAGCAAUUCUGUGUGUGUGAAGAAGGUUUUAGGACUGUAAAACACUUUUAGUAGGGAAGAAAAAAAUGACGGUACCUACAGAAGAAGCAACGGCUAAAUACGUGCCAGCAGCCGCGGUAAUACGUAUGUUGCGAGCGUUAUCCGGAAUUAUUGGGCUUAAAGGGCAUCUAGGCGGUAAGACAAGUUGAAGGUGAAAACCUGUGGCUCAACCAUAGGCUUGCCUACAAAACUGUUGAACUAGAGUACUGGAAAGGUGGGUGGAACUACACGAGUAGAGGUGAAAUUCGUAGAUAUGUGUAGGAAUGCCGAUGAUGAAGAUAACUCACUGGACAGAAACUGACGCUGAAGUGCGAAAGCUAGGGGAGCAAACAGG